GCAUUGGAAAAUGGAAAGUUGAACUGCCCUUCGAAGGCAGAGGUUACAGGUUCAAAUCCUGUCGGGUGCGCCA
rnacentral:tRNA from 1 species